UACGGAGGGUGCGAGCGUUGUCCGGAAUCACUGGGCGUAAAGGGCGCGUAGGCGGCGCGAGCAGUCGAUCGUGAAAGUCCGGAGCUCAACUCCGGAUCGGCGGUCGAUACUCUCGUGCUUGAGCACUGUAGAGGCAGAUGGAAUUCCGGGUGUAGCGGUGGAAUGCGUAGAGAUCCGGAAGAACACCGGUGGCGAAGGCAGGUCUCUGGGCCACUACUGACGCUGAGAAGCGAAAGCAUGGGGAGCGAACAGG
rnacentral:rRNA from 1 species